rnacentral:rRNA from 1 species
GAUGAACGCUGGCGGCGUGCCUAAUACAUGCAAGUCGAGCGAACAGACGAGGAGCUUGCUCCUUUGACGUUAGCGGCGGACGGGUGAGUAACACGUGGGUAACCUACCUAUAAGACUGGGAUAACUUCGGGAAACCGGAGCUAAUACCGGAUAAUAUUUCGAACCGCAUGGUUCGAUAGUGAAAGAUGGCUUUGCUAUCACUUAUAGAUGGACCUGCGCCGUAUUAGCUAGUUGGUAAGGUAACGGCUUACCAAGGCAACGAUACGUAGCCGACCUGAGAGGGUGAUCGGCCACACUGGAACUGAGACACGGUCCAGACUCGUACGGGAGGCAGCAGUAGGGAAUCUUCCGCAAUGGGCGAAAGCCUGACGGAGCAACGCCGCGUGAGUGAUGAAGGUCUUCGGAUCGUAAAACUCUGUUAUUAGGGAAGAACAAACGUGUAAGUAACUGUGCACGUCUUGACGGUACCUAAUCAGAAAGCCACGGCUAACUACGUG